GUCAGUUCUUCAUGGUGGACAAAGGGAUACAAAACCUAUUCCGUUCUGACUCUCCACAGCAGUACCAGGCCCCAGCCCAGCCACCACCUCCAGCCUCUCCUCCCGUCGUCUCCCCCCCAGAGGGUGACCACCACCUAGCCCUGCGAGCCUCCGACGGACCCCUGCCCGGCUCCUUCCCCUACUCCUCUGCCACUCAUCUCAAACGUCUCCACACCGCCCCCAUCUGCUCCUCCAACACAGAGACAGAGACAGCCCAGCAAGAGCCACCGGGCCUGGGCAGGCCCUCCAUCGCCUGCUCCCUGGGAUCCAACCGUCCAGCCGACGACCAGGAACAAACCCAAGACGACGCGGUCUCCUCCAGCACUGACCCCCAGGGGAGCACUGUGGACCCCCACCUCCAGACCCACCCUUACAGAGUCAGACCCCGAGCCCACCGACGAGGGCCUCCGUCGGGGAAGAUCAGCUCGCCCUGCCUGGAGAGGCUGCUCCAGUCCAAGGAGAGCAUCAUCUCACCCAGAAACAUGGGAGGUCAGAGUCCGGGAGGUGGUGGGGAGAGCAUCAUCUCACCCAGAAACAUGGGAGGUCAGAGUCCGGGAGGUGGUGGGGAGAGCAUCAUCUCACCCAGAAACAUGGGAGGUCAGAGUCCGGGAGGUGGUGGGGAGAGCAUCAUCUCACCCAGAAACAUGGGAGGUCAGAGUCCGGGAGGUGGUGGGGAGAGCAGCCGUUCGUAACAGCUAGACUCAGACAUGGUCCAUGGAGGAGAUAAGGACUGAUCUGGGCACAGAGUUGACCCGGGAGACACUGAGCUGUAUCUUUCCACAACAGGCUCCCCAAUACAGCAGGGGGCAAAGGUCGGUGUCUGAGCGGGACGCUGUCUCUUUAAGAGCUGUGUGUCAUGUGAUCCAUCAUGUGAUCCAACUACGGUUGGUUUAUCUGCAGUAAGACACUGAGACAUGGAGGAGACAUAUUAUAGACCUGCAGUAAGACACAGAGACAUGGAGGAGAGGAGACAUAUUAUAGACCUGCAGUAAGACACUGAGACAUGGAGGAGACAUAUUAUAGACCUGCAGUAAGACACAGAGACAUGGAGGAGACAUAUUAUAGACCUGCAGUAAGACACAGAGACAUGGAGGAGACAUAUUAUAGACCUGCAGUAAGACACAGAGACAUGGAGGAGACAUAUUAUAGACCUGCAGUAAGACACAGAGACAUGGAGGAGACAUAUUAUAGACCUGCAGUAAGACACAGAGACAUGGAGGAGACAUAUUAUAGACCUGCAGUAAGACACAGAGACAUGGAGGAAACAUAUUAUAGACCUGCAGUAAGACACAGAGACAUGGAGGAGAGGAGACAUAUUAUAGACCUGCAGUAAGACACAGAGACAUGGAGGAGACAUAUUAUAGACCUGUAGUAAGACACAGAGACAUGGAGGAGAGGAGACAUAUUAUAGACAUGCAGUAAGACACAGAGACAUGGAGGAGACAUAUUAUAGACCUGUAGUAAGACACAGAGACAUGGAGGAGAGGAGACAUAUUAUAGACCUGCAGUAAGACACAGACACAUGGAGGAGACAUAUUAUAGACCUGCAGUAAGACACUGAGACAUGGAGGAGACAUAUUAUAGACCUGCAGUAAGACACAGAGACAUGGAGGAGAGGAGACAUAUUAUAGACCUGCAGUAAGACACAGAGACAUGGAGGAGAGGAGACAUAUUAUAGACCUGCAGUAAGACACUGAGACGUGGAGGAGACAUAUUAUAGACCUGCAGUAAGACACAGAGACAUGGAGGAGAGGAGACAUAUUAUAGACCUGCAGUAAGACACAGAGACAUGGAGGAGACAUAUUAUAGAUCUGCCGUAAGACACUGAGACCUGGAGGAGACAUAUUAUAGACCUGCAGUAAGACACUGAGACAUGGAGGAGACAUAUUAUAGACCUGCAGUAAGACACAGAGACAUGGAGGAGACAUAUUAUAGACCUGCAGUAAGACACUGAGACAUGGAGGAGAUAUAUUAUAGACCUGCAGUAAGACACAGAGACAUGGAGGAGAG
ensembl:lncRNA